AGAGAGAGACAUGCGCGCAUAUCAAUAAGCGGAGGAAAAGAAACUAACUAGGAUUCCCUCAGUAACGGCGAGUGAAGCGGGAAGAGCUCAAAUUUGAAAUCUUCAAGGUUCUACCUUGACGAAUUGUAGUUUAAAGAAGUGUUUUCUGUUGGAGUUUUGGUAAAAGUUCUUUGGAAUAGGACAUCAUAGAGGGUGAGAAUCCCGUAUUUGACCAUUACUUUCCAGCUUUGUGAUACACUUUCAAAGAGUCGGAUUGUUUGGGAAUGCAGUCCAAAAUGGGUGGUAAAUUUCAUCUAAAGCUAAAUACUGGCGAGAGACCGAUAGCGAACAAGUACCGUGAGGGAAAGAUGAAAAGAACUUUGAAAAGAGAGUUAAACAGUACGUGAAAUUGUCAAAAGGGAAGCGUUUGACACCAGUGUUGUUUUCUCGAAAAUCAAUUAAAAAGAGUUAGAUUUUGUUGUGUAUUGACCUUAUCAGCUUUGCAUUUCAUUUUCUUGUCUUUUUUAAUGCACUUUUCGUUUAAUAAGUCAACAUCAAUUUCUUUUGUUGUAAAAGGGUCAUUGGAAGGUGGCUUUCUUUUCGGAGAAAGUGUUUAUAGCCUUUGGCCUCUGCAAUCGGAGAGAUUGAGGUCUGCAGCGUAGAUCCUUCGGGGUUAGAUACAUUUGUGCUAAGUUAUAGCCUUUCAUAGACAACUUGUUGACUAUGAUCAGUCAUGUAGCUUACUCGCUUAUGCUAUUUUACCUACGCUUAGGAUGUUGAUGUGAUACUGCGAGCA
rnacentral:rRNA from 1 species